AUAAAAUAUAAUUAUUAUUUAAAAAUUUAUUUUAUAAUUAUAAUAUAAAUAAAAUCUUAAAAUAAAAUAUUUAAAUUUAAAAAAUUUAAUAUUAUGAUAGUUAAUAUUUAAAAUAAUUACAUUUUUUUAUGUAAAUAUAGUAAAUUAUAAUAAUAAUGGUUAAGUUAGUGCCAGCAAUCGCGGUUAAACUAAUUGGAUUAUAAAUAAAAUUAGGGUAAUUAAGAUGUAAUUAAGUGUGAAGUAAGUAAUGUGAUAGUUUGAAUUAAAUAAUUUAUAUGGUGAAAUAUAUAAUAUUUGUUAAAAAAUUAAAAAUUAAUAUAUAGAAAAAUUCGUAAAUUAAGUAUUAAACUAGGAUUUGAUACCCUAUUAUUUUAAUAAAUUUAUUAGUUAAUUAGAAAAUAAAUGUAAAGCAUUAAAUUUAAAUAAUUUGGCGGUAUUUUAAAUAGUCAGAGGAACUUGUUAAAUAAAUGAUAAUCCACGAUAGGAGAAUCUUAAUUAAUUUUUUAUGUAUUGUUAUUUUAAAUUAUAUUAAAAGAUUAUAAUUGUUAAAUUUUUAUAUUAAAGUUUAAUUUAAAUCAAAAUGUAGAGUAUUUGAGAUUAAAUGAGUUACGUUUUUGUUAAUUAUUGAAUUAGUAAUUUUAAUUAUUAUUAUGAAAAAGGAUUUGAUAGUAAGUGUGUAUAAUUUUAUACAUUGAAAUUUAAUUAAAAUAUGUACAAAUUGCCCGUCAUUUUCAUGAAAUUAGUAUAUAUAAGUGAAAAAAGUCGUAACAAAGUAAGUGUAUAUGAAUAUGUACUUAGAAUAUA
rnacentral:ncRNA from 1 species